rnacentral:RNase_P_RNA from 1 species
UCUGCAAAACGUUCUAUCGCUGUCUGCUUCGGCAGAGAGAGGAAAGUCCGGGCAACAUAGGGUAUCCUGCUUCCUAACGGGAAGGCGCCUUGGCGGGCGACAGCAAGUGCCACAGAAAAUAUACCGCCCCUAACCGGGUAAGGGUGAAAACGUGAGGUAAGAGCUCACGGCUUUUCCGGGCGACCGGAAUUGCGGUAAACCUCAGGAGUUGAAAGGCCAAAUAGGUUCCGGAUAUAGAAGCGGCCCGCUUCUGAUGCCGCAAGGCAUCGCCGGGAUGGGUAGGCUGCUUGAGCCUGUUAGCAAUAGCAGGUUUAGAUUAAUGAUAGAAAGCUGCCUUCGGGCGGACACAGAACCCGGCUUAUAGCUUUGCUGCCAUU